ensembl:lncRNA
AAAAAACAUAAGGGGUAACACUGUGGUUUUUUAUCGGUCAUCAUGGAAAAAAACAUAAGGGGUGACACUGUUGUUUUUUAUUGGUGGUCAUGAAAAAAAACAUGAGGGGUAACACUGUCGUUUUUAAUUGGUCGUCAUGAAAAAAUAAAUAAGGGGUAACACUGUCGUUUUUCAUUGGUCGUCAUGAAAAAAAACAUAAGUGUGGUAACACUGUCGUUUUUUAUUGGUCGUCAUGAAAAAAACAUAAGGGGUAACACUGUGGUUUUUUAUUGGUCGUCAUGAAAAAAAACAUAAGGGGUAACACUUGUUUUUUAUUGGUCGUCAUGAAAAAAAACAUAAGGGGUAACACUGUUGCUUUUUAUUGGCAGUCAUGAAAAAACUACCAAUAAAAAAACGACAAAAAAAAAACAUAAGGGGUAACACUGUCGUUUUUUAUUGGUCGUCAAAACUUGUGGUUUUUUAUUGGUCGUCAUGAAAAAAAACAUAAGGGGUAACACUGUCGUUUCUUAUUGGUCGUCAUGAAAAAAAACAUAAGGGGUAACACUGUCGUUUUUUAUUAGUCGUCAUGAAAAAAACAUAAGGGGUAACACUGUCGUUUUUUAUUGGUCGUCAUGAAAAAAAACAUAAGGGGUAACGCUGUUGUUUUUUAUUGGUAGUCAUGAAAAAAAACAUAAGGGGUUACACUGUCGUUUUUAAUUGGUCGUCAUGAAAAAAAACAUAAGGGGUAACACUGUCGUUUUUUAUUGGUCUUCAUGAAAAAAAACAUAAGGGGUAACACUGUCGUUUUUUAUUAGUCGUCAUGAAAAAAAACAUAAGGGGGGUUACACUCUUGUUUUUUAUUGGUCCUCAUGAAAUAAAACAUAAGGGGUAACACUGUCUUUUUUUAUUUGUCGUCAUGAAAAAAAACCUAUGGGGUAACACUGUCGUUUUUUAUUGGUCGUCAUGAAAAAAAACAUAAGGGGUAACACUGGUGCUUUUUAUUGGUAGUCAUGAAAAAACUACCAAUAAAAAAAUGACAAAAAAAAAAGAUAAGGGGUAACACUGUCGUUUUUUAUUGGUCGUCAAAACUUGUGGUUUUUUAUUGGUCGUCAUGAAAAAAAACAUAAGGGGUAACACUGUCGUUUUUUAUUGGUCGUCAUGAAAAAAAACAUUAGGGGUUACACUCUUGUUUUUUAUUGGUCCUCAUGAAAUAAAACAUAAGGGGUAACACUGUCGUUUUUUAUUGGUCGUCAUGAAAAAAAACAUAAGGGGUAACACUGGUGCUUUUUAUUGGUAGUCAUGAAAAAACUACCAAUAAAAAAAUGACAAAAAAAAAACAUAAGGGGUAACACUAGUUUUUUUAUUGGUCGUCAUGGAAAAAACAUAAGGGGUAACACUGUUAGGUUUUUGAUUGGUCGUCAUGAAAAAAAACAUAAGGGGUAACACUGUUGUUUUUUAUUAGUCGUCAUGAAAAAAACAUAAGGGGUAACACUGUUUUUUAUUAGUCGUCAUGAAAAAAACAUAAGGGGUAACACUGUCGUUUUUUAUUGGUCGUCAUGAAAAAAACAUAAUGGGUAACACUGGUUUUUUAUUGGUCGUCAUGAAAAAAAACAUAAGGGGUAACACUUGUUUUUUUUUGGUCGUGUUAUGACUAUGGUCAUUUCUUGUGUUCGGUCUGCUGUGUGCUUGUGUGCCCUGUGCUUUUUUCUCUUUCUCCUGACAUGCAUAAAUGAGUGUGCCGGGACGCGGAGAUGAUUGGUGGACGAGGUUCGAGCCCUGGCCUGUGGUUGGCUGCAGCCGGGAACUAACCACUACAAAGGAGCCAAGAUGGCGGCCGUCUGGGGGCAGCCGGUUUUUCCCCCGUCCUCUUCCUCUUCCAACCGCCACUUUGUCGUCGGUCUCGUGGGACAUUACCUAAUAGUUGAUAGUUAACGUGUGUGAUCGUAAGGGUGGACUGCCAGUUUUGUUUACGGUGUUUUCUCUUGUUUUACUUAGAUAGGGAGGUAAGAUUUGUAGUUUGUUUUCUUAAGGCUAGUUUCUUACUUUCUAGAUAGGUUUGUGUUAUUUGUUAUUUUGGCCUUGGUCCGCCCUGAAGUUUAUCUUGUAUAUCUAUAGAUUUAUUUACUACCUUGCAUAAAUAAAUCUUUCCUUCACACAACUGAUGAUUUGGGUUGUGGCUACUUGGGAGUUGGGGAAGACGGGGGCUCAUUCAUGUUAGGCCCUAGGCACCCCUAGACUGGGGCGUAACAUGAAUGAG